rnacentral:rRNA from 1 species
UUGGAGGGCAAGUCUGGUGCCAGCAGCCGCGGUAAUUCCAGCUCCAAUAGCGUAUAUUAAAGUUGUUGCAGUUAAAAAGCUCGUAGUUGAAUUUCGGGGUUAGUAGGUUGGUCGUGCCUUUGGUAUGUACUGGUCUCACUGAUUCCUCCUUCUUGAAGAACUGUAAUGUCAUUAAUUUGGUGUUGCAGGGAAACAGGACUGUUACUUUGAAAAAAUUAGAGUGUUUAAAGCAGGCUAACGCCUGAAUACAUUAGCAUGGAAUAAUGAAAUAGGACGUUUGAUCCUAUUUUGUUGGUUUCUAGGAUUGACGUAAUGAUUAAUAGGGAUAGUUGGGGGCAUUAGUAUUCAAUUGUCAGAGGUGAAAUUCUUGGAUUUAUUGAAGACUAACUACUGCGAAAGCAUUUGCCAAGGAUGUUUUCAUUAAUCAAGAACGAAAGUUAGGGGAUCGAAGACGAUCAGAUACCGUCGUAGUCUUAACCAUAAACUAUGCCGACUAGGGAUCGGAUGAUGUUAAUUUUUUAAUGACUCAUUCGGCGCCUUACGGGAAAC